rnacentral:lncRNA from 10 species
ACAUAAGAGAACCCUCCUGAACUACUGAUGAGUCAAGGGCAGCCUUCAUGCAAGAACAACUCAAUCAGCCAUUCCAGGUGGGUAGCAAGGAAGGACAAUGUCUUGAUCUCUAAGGAGUUAUUAAAAGAUGGAGGAAGGAAAAAGACAUGAAGUUAGGAAGCCUUCAGCAGGAAGCAGGAAAAAGGAACUUGUCUCCAUGAGUUAGUGACAGACCAUGGCACUAAACAUGAGAAAAAACAUCUUGCUGAAUGAAGCACAGAGGUUUCAAACUGGUGGAUCCAGAGCAGAAUAGAAGGAUCUCCAAUUCCUCUUCAGAUCAGAGUUAUACUCCUGUCCUCAACACAUUCCCUGAAGAAGAAAUUUCUCAUUUCCUCUUGAAGAAAUGGGGG